rnacentral:lncRNA from 1 species
ACAGGCGUGUAAACAGAUCAUUAAAAUGCAAUGUCGCAAGGGCUCUGGGAGAGUCACAGACAAGGAGCACAGGGCAGGAAGUGACUAACUCACCCUGGGAGACGUCUCACAGAAGAAGUACUGUUCAACACGAGCCUGGAAAGGUGAGUUCAAUAGAUCAUCUGUGAAGAUGGCCAAGUUUGAGAGAGGAAAAUCUGGACAGGAGAGAAAGCAUGUGUCAAAGGAGCCCAGAACGUUCCGAGAAAGGAAGUCUGGUAAGAGUGGGACAGCAUCCUGAUGAAUCCAAUAACUUUGGCUGGUGUUGCUUCUAAGCUGCCUGGACCAGGCACGUUCGUGGGCAUUCUGGAAAGACAAUUGCUGGUAAUCCCUAUGCAGCCAGGACUCACUUCCAGGACCCUCCUCCCAGGGAGCUCAUGCCCAGACACCAGCUCCCUCAGGAAACGAUCCUGUCCUUGGCUGGCCUCCUGGCUCCUCGCCAGCCCACUCACUGAAUUCAAUUCAUAGCCCGUUUUUAUAAAAAGCAGACUCAGACUUGCCCCAGUACCUGUUACAGAUGCUACUUUCU